CCAACAGGGAUUGCCCUAGUAACGGCGAGUGAAGCGGCAACAGCUCAAAUUUGAAAUCGGUGUCCUUCUCGGGCAUCGAGUUGUAAUUUGGAGGGAUAACUUCGGUACGGACUACAUCGUAAGUUCCUUGGAACAGGACGUCAUAGAGGGUGAGAAUCCCGUGUCUUGGUGGCUGGCCGUGCCAUGUGAAGUGUCUCCGACGAGUCGAGUUGUUUGGGAAUGCAGCUCAAAAUGGGUGGUAAAUUUCAUCUAAAGCUAAAUAUUGGCGAGAGACCGAUAGCGCACAAGUAGAGUGAUCGAAAGAUGAAAAGCACUUUGAAAAGAGAGUUAAAAAGUACGUGAAAUUGUUGAAAGGGAAGCGCUUGCGACCAGACUCGAUCUUUGGUGAUCAGCCGGGCUUCGGUCCGGUGCCCUCACCAUUGAUUGGGCCAGCAUCGGUUCUGACGGCGGGACAAAAGGAGGAGGAAUGUGGCUCCCCUCGGGGAGUGUUAUAGCCUUCUUCACAAUGCCGCCAGUUGGGACCGAGGACCGCGCUUCGGCUAGGAUGCUGGCGUAAUGGUCUUAAGCGACCCGUCUUGAAACACGGACCAAGGAGUCUAACAUCUAUGCGAGUGUUCGGGUGGAAAACCCUUGCGCGUAAUGAAAGUGAACGGAGGUGUGAACCCUUUACCGGGUGCAACAUCGACCGGUCCUGAUGUCUUCGGAAGGAUCUGAGUAAGAGCAUAGCUGUUGGGACCCGAAAGAUGGUGAACUAUGCCUGAAUAGGGUGAAGCCAGAGGAAACUCUGGUGGAGGCUCGCAGCGGUUCUGACGUGCAAAUCGAUC
rnacentral:rRNA from 1 species